rnacentral:lncRNA from 1 species
GAGUUUCAAAUUCGUGGUCGUUACAUCCCUCCCCCCUUAUAAAAAUUCCGUCCUCGGAAUUGUAAAAAUAAGGUUACUCAAAUAAAAACGGAUAAUUCGCUCUCAUUUUCUCUUCUAGCUCCCACGUAGCUUCUUCUACGACGUGAUUCCUCCAGAGAAUCUGUGGCAGCCCCGAAUCCGGGUCCCGAAUCGCCGCGGAUCCGGUUCGCUAUUUCUACAACUGUUGCGGAAGAUAUAAACAUAAAUUGUUUAUACAUUACAUUACACACUAUUCCCCAAGGUCGAGUAACCUUUACUUAUACACAAUUCAUAAGCUAUCUAACAGAUAACAUAUUAUGCACCUAUACUAUUACAAACUAGCCGCACAAUUUAUCCCAAGUUGUACUUGGCAUUACCCUUUUCCUGUAUCUGGCCGUAUUCGCCUUAUCGGCAAUGUUUUAUCAUGAUAUAGCAAAGGUGAGCAUGAAAGUUGCCCAGCAAGUUUAAAAAAAACAAGGUAAAGAUAUAUCAUGAUUGAAAGAGUUUGAAUAAUAAGCUGGCUAUCCUUCACAAUGUAGUUGUGAAUUAGCAUGAACAAAAUUUCAAAGCUGAAUGAACAUUGAAAAUGAACAUAACAAUUAUAUCUGAACUGACUGGUAAUGAAGGUGAUCAGCCUUUCAUACCUGAUGAAUACAUGCAAUAUGUACAGAGUAUAAUUCAUAAGCAUAUCUGUCUGAAACCACUCUUAAAAGAGUUUAAGUAAAAAGAACUUGAGAAACUUGCCUGAACCGUUGAUUACCGUAACGCAAUAUAAUACGCUUCUCCUGAAGACCUAAUAUUAAUAAUAUAGAUCUCCAAUAUUAGAAUAAUAUCAUCACCGUUAUAAAAUAACUUAAACACAUUUCCACAUACUCCUAUCAGUCUAUAUAGCAUAUAAAACCUAUAAUAGAUCUUUCGGUUAGUCAUAACAUAUAGUUAAGUAUUAGACAUUAGUUUUAAGUCUUAAUAUUAUUAUUAUACUUUGAUAUUCUUUUAAUCACAUCAUAACUUAUACUUAUAAGUUAUUCAUUUUUAUAUGUUAUCCUAGUAAAUUAGAUAACAUCUUAGUAAACCGCAAUACAAUGUCAGUAAAACGGAUUUUAUUUCAGUAUCCCGAAAUCACUAUUCUUUUUCACGAAAAAUACCAAAUCGACUUAUUAUUUUUUUAUCCUUUGGUCAAACAUAUAUACAUGUAUUUCAUACAUAAAAAAUAUUUUUCCGUAAUUUUUCAAUUUCUUUUACUAAUUUUCAAAAAUCAUAAUUAGUGCGUGACUUAAGAAAAUUAGCUACCUUGUGCUUAACUCCAGAGAUGCCCAUCUUUUGACAUAACCUUAUAUAUGUUAACGUAAUGCUCCAUGUUAAAUUUCGCGGCAAUCGGAGUUGUAGAACUCCGGUUAUAGAGAUUUCCGUCGGAAAAUCAUAAAAAUUGAAAUGGUCAUAACUUGGUCGUUUUAAGCCGGAAUUAGCUCAUUUUUGGACACGAGCUACAUAUUACCAUAUAUUUUCAUUUCCCAAAAGCCUGUAAUUUUUCUCAUUAACUAAAUGUCCAAAACAGCCCUCGGAAAAUUUUGGCCAGAAACUUUUUGCACUUUGGCAGUUUUGGAGUCCUUCACCAAAACUUAAAUAAAACGAAAUCUGUAACUCCGAUUAAUGAUCCGUCAAUUUUGU